UCAGGAGGAACACCGAUGGCGAAGGCAGGUUACUGGGCUGUUACUGACGCUGAGGAGCGAAAGCAUGGGGAGCGAACAGGAUUAGAUACCCUGGUAGUCCAUGCCGUAAACGUUGGGCACUAGGUGUGGGGGACAUUCCACGUUUUCCGCGCCGUAGCUAACGCAUUAAGUGCCCCGCCUGGGGAGUACGGCCGCAAGGCUAAAACUCAAAGGAAUUGACGGGGGCCCGCACAAGCGGCGGAGCAUGCGGAUUAAUUCGAUGCAACGCGAAGAACCUUACCAAGGCUUGACAUACACCGGAUCGUUCCAGAGAUGGUUCUUCCCUUUUGGGCUGGUGUACAGGUGGUGCAUGGUUGUCGUCAGCUCGUGUCGUGAGAUGUUGGGUUAAGUCCCGCAACGAGCGCAACCCUCGUUCUAUGUUGCCAGCACGUGAUGGUGGGGACUCAUAGGAGACUGCCGGGGUCAACUCGGAGGAARGUGGGGAUGACGUCAAAUCAUCAUGCCCCUUAUGUCUUGGGCUUCACGCAUGCUACAAUGGCCGGUACAAUGGGUUGCGAUACUGUGAGGUGGAGCUAAUCCCAAAAAGCCGGUCUCAGUUCGGAUUGGGGUCUGCAACUCGACCCCAUGAAGUCGGAGUCGCUAGUAAUCGRAGAUCAGCAACGCUGCGGUGAAUACGUUCCCGGGCCUUGUAC
rnacentral:rRNA from 1 species